rnacentral:lncRNA from 1 species
AGCAUUCUAAGCCUCAUGCGCCCACACUCCUCAAAAGUUCAACCAGAAUUUCGUAUGGUCCGGUUGCUCUGCCCAUCCUUAUCUCACGCAUUGCCUCCAUGACCUCCUCGACCUCGAAGUCCCUACAAUCACUUAUCCCAUAUGAUUUAUCGGCAUUUUGCAAAUCACCUAGUACAGUAUCCUAAUCCCCUUCUUCAUUCAGAACUUUCUGAAAGUAGGUCUGUCAUCUCCUCUUAAUCUGCUCAUCCCCCACCAAAACUUUGCCUCCAUCAUCUUUUAUGUAUCUCAUUUGGUCCAGAUCCCGAGCCAUCCUCUCUCUCACCUUAGCGAGUCGAAAUAUUUUCUUUUCCCCACCUUUGUUCCCUAGCUCCUCAUACAGAUGAGCAAACAUAGCCGUCUUAGCCUCCGUAACUGUCAUCUUCGCCUCCUCCUAGCAACCUUAUAUCUCUCAUUGUUCGCUCUCUUCUCCUCCUCUCCAAUGCUCCUUAUUAACCACAUGUAAGCCAUAUUAUUCGCUUCUACUUUACUUUGGACAACUGCAUUCCACCACUAGUCUUCUUCGUGGCCCUCGGUGCAUCCCGAAGAUAUCCCUAACACCUCUCUCGCCGCCUUCCUUAUACAUUCUGUCAUCGUUGACCACAUAAUGUUUGCAUCCCCAUUACUUCUCCAUGCUCCCAUUUCCGA